rnacentral:lncRNA from 1 species
UGCCGGUUUGGGCGGGAGCCGCCCCGGGACCAACUGCCCUCGUUGCUCACACCAAGGAGGCCUUGGCUAGCUCAGCCGGACCCCAAAGCCUGGACCGGGUCUCCACCUCCCCCCCACCCCCGUGCCCACGCCCUCCAUGCCGGCCUCGCCUGGGAGCAGAUCACUGCUGCCUCGCCCCCGCGGCCCACUCGCCCAGCGGGGCGCCUUAUCCGAGAGCCCUCCGGGCCUCAGCUUUAUCACCCGGCACCACCCGGCGUGGUUCUAACCCCGCGCCUUUGCGCUGCGCUGCACACCAGCUUUUUUUUUCUAAGACAGGAUCUCCCUGAGUUGCUCAGCUGCCCAGCCUGGGCUCGAACCUGCAGUCCAGCGCGGAGGCCUGGCCAACCCCUGACUUCCCGUGGCUGGGCCCAGGGUGUCAGCAGAGUCAGCUUCCAGGGAAUCCGACCUCUGGUCUCCCGCCCUAGUCCAGGGCCUUCCUGAGACUCCAGUCUUCGUGCCGAUGUCCCCAGGGCUGUGGUCCCACUGUGGCUGACUCCUUCUCUCCCGGGUCUCAGCCCAAAGCCCACUCCUCAGAAAAAUCCUUCAGUGUUUAGUCUGCUGUACACUUGAGCUCCAGCCCUCUCGAUGGCAAGUCACCCACUCUGUCUGCAGGUUCCUGGAGGGAGACGCUGGUCUCUCCUCUCUCACAACCAGGGAUUGCUGUGGUCCUAGUGAUGUUGGCGGUCCUUGGAAAGGGGGAGUCACUUUGCUGAGGCCUUGGCCGGCCUGGGCCUGAUGCCACCCCCUCCUUUGGCCCCAGCUUGCCCUGGCCAUCUUACCCGGGCCACUUGUCCUCAAGGUCCAGAUGUGCGUGGUGUUGACCUCAGAGAGCCCAAGGCCGGGCCCAGGGCCACAGUGCCAAUGCCACAUUGUCUCUGCACAAAACCCACUUGGCUCCCGGCUGGGGGUAGACGCGGAACACAGCCCAUCCACGCGGCCCCAUGGUGCACAGCGGCUGUGUCUCGGGCCAGCGAGGGAGGCGGACGUGGGCCUGGUGGACAUCGCUGGUGUCACAGGUGGAUGCAGGGCCACCUGCUGGGGGGUCCGUUUCUCUGAGGAGUCGGGGACAGGCACGACGAGGGG